GCUGUUCUUGGUGGCCAUUU
rnacentral:misc_RNA from 1 species